rnacentral:rRNA from 1 species
CGUCCCUACGGGAGGCAGCAGUAGGGAAUCUUCCACAAUGGACGAAAGUCUGAUGGAGCAACGCCGCGUGAGUGAAGAAGGGUUUCGGCUCGUAAAGCUCUGUUGGUAGUGAAGAAAGAUAGAGGUAGUAACUGGCCUUUAUUUGACGGUAAUUACUUAGAAAGUCACGGCUAACUACGUGCCAGCAGCCGCGGUAAUACGUAGGUGGCAAGCGUUAUCCGGAUUUAUUGGGUGUAAAGGGCGUGUAGGCGGGGUUGCAAGUCUGAU